GUCAGGAAGGCCGAGCGGUCCAAGGCGUUGCGUUAAGGUCGCAGUCUCCACAGGAGACGUGGGUUUGAAUCCCACUUCUGACA